UAAGGGGGACUUUUGGUAUAGCAUUGGAAAUGUAAAUGAGCUAAAUACCUAAUAAAAAAUGGAAAAAAAAAAAAAAAAAGAAACUCUAGCUACUCUGUAUGGAAUCAGAAAGAUAGUAAGAAAACAUUCUUAGAGUAAAAAACUCCAGAAAGUGACUAUUGAAACCAAUCAGAAUGCCAAUGUAUUGACUGCUAAAUAAUGUUCUGUGUAUUUUUAACGGCUUGUCUGUAAAUGAUCGCUCUCUGCAAGCUCCUUCAGUAGCUCUGAAGUCUUCAGAGUGAUUUAGUGACAGUCUAUGCCUUAGAACCUUUGUAAGCAGCUCUCUGACCCAUAUUCUCUUGAUGUUUUACAAGGAAUUUAAAUUUCAAAUGGUAUUUCAAUGUGCCAGCACUCGGCAUCCUAGUACAUGAUCUGCCUAGGUCGAUAGACAACAAGACACAAUAGUUUCCUCCCUUGUCAUUCUAAGUCAUCACUCAGUGUUGUCAUGCUGGCUCUCUUUGUUGUACUUGCUAUUUCUGUGCUGAUCAGUAUGUAUGACACUUGUCUAUGACACAUGAAGAAUCAGCAGUGUCCAAGGCUUCUGCAGCUGAAUCCUUGUUAGUCAUGACAAGUGUUACUCAUUUAUACGUAUAAAUGAGGUAGCAUUCUUCUCUUGUUAAAAGAGUACUGUGAAAUGUAUCCCCCUACAAAUGGUUUAAGUGAUUAUAGGAGGGUUUUGAAAACAGUUGUAGCUUUGUGAGAAUAGACUAGAAUACUGGGAUUAUUUUGAAUCUAGACCCCCCCCUCUCCACACACUUGGCUAUGAAAUCAAUUCAUGAAUGGGUUUUGCCAGUGGGGUUCUGCCAGUCAUAACAAUAGAAAUAUAACAGAAUCCCACCCUUCUGAACUAGGUCAAAGAAUGAUGCUGUCUGGAAAGUUGGUCAUUGGAUGCCACUUUGUGGAGGCCAUUCUAAAUUGUAUAUUCUACAAAGCUUGAUGAAUGAAUUUGGCCUAAAACAUGUCAACUUUAUCUGACCUUCGUAGUGAUCCACGUGUUAGGUAUUGAGGUAGUAGUGAAAAGACAUUAUAUGCCAGCACACUGUUGCAAUCCCUUCAGCCAGGUCUCUUUGGGAAAAAAACAAGCUCUGGUGGCCAGAGUAGUGGUUUCAAAGGAUAGACCAAGGAUUGUUGGAGUUUCUUGAACCAUACCCAGGAACAUCUUUAUGGUCAGAAUAUCUUCACAAGAGUAGGGAAGUGUUAAUUGCAUUUUUCUAUUCUCAUUCUUUGGUUUACUAAAAUAGAGUUUACAAAAGGCUAUGUGAUAGCAUUAGUACAUCAUGUGGCAUUCAGGAGCAGAUGUAAGGAGCCCCUGUCUUUUAUUGCUCAUAUCCUACACUGAAGAACUUUGCAAAAAUAUAAGGAAAUGAUGCUACUCUCCUCAACAUAGUGUUUUGUUUCUCUUGGAAAAUAAAUUUAUCUUUCAUAUGUUAUAUUAUUUAUAGUCAAAUGUACAAAUUAUUGUUACUUAAGUCAAUAAAAUGACAUUUUG
rnacentral:lncRNA from 1 species